CUAUUUGCCAUGGCGGCGCGCACAGACGCAGCGGCUCACAGCUCUCCCUACUUGUGCCUUUUUUCGUGUGUUGUACGUUUGUUUACUUUUUCUACUGAACGCUAGGGCUGGGCGAUAUGACGAUAUAUAUCGUGUGAUGAUAUAAAAAUGUCUAUCGUUUCAUAUUAUCCUCUAUCGUUAUAUCGUCUUUUCGCAAAUCACACUCUUUACGGUAAUAUUUUACGUCAUUUGGACGACGCUUUACAUUCUUGCAAACGGCACUUGAACGCAACACAAACAAACAUGGAGGAGAGUGAACGUGACAAUUCUGAAUAGGAGAAGGACUCCCACUACCAGCCAAGACAAAGUGAGCUCGUACCUUAAAAGGACAGCUGAUUUGGAACGCAACAACAGCUGUUCGCUUUCACGGGGAAAAACUAAGGAACUUCAACCUACUUAGGCCUACUAAUUAACUUUCAAAAGCUAUUAAA